GACGAACGCUGGCGGCGCGCUUAACACUUGCAAGUCGAAGGGAAGGGCCGGCUUUCCCUGUGGGUUUCGGGUACCUGGGUGGCGGACCGGUGGGGUAAACCGGGAGUAUCCUCCCCCAACCUGGGGUAUAACCUUGGGAACCUGGGUCAAUUUCCGGUUGGAACGGCGGGGUGUUUCUGGGGGUGGAAACGGUUUUCUAGGUGGUGGGGGUGAGCUCGCGGCCUAUCAGCCUGGUGGUGGGGUAAUGGCCUACCAAGGCGGCCACGGGUAGCCGGCCUGAGAGAGUGGACGGCCACAUUGGGACUGAGAUACGGCCCAGACUCCUACGGGAGGCAGCAGUGGGGAAUAUUGCAUAAUGGGCGGAAGCCUGAUGCAGCGACGCCGCGUGGGGGAUGACGGCCUUCGGGUUGUAAACUCCUUUCGACCGCGAGGAAGCCACCUGGUUGGAAGGGUGGUGACGGUAGUGGUAGAAGAAGCACCGGCUAACUACGUG
rnacentral:rRNA from 1 species